GACGAACGCUGGCGGCGUGCUUAACACAUGCAAGUCGAACGGUAAGGCCCUGCCUUUGUGUGGUGCUCGAGUGGCGAACGGGUGAGUAACACGUGAGUAAUCUGCCCCUGACUCUGGGAUAACUUCUGGAAACUGCGUCUAAUACUGGAUACGAGCUCCUGCUGCAUGUUGGGGGGCUGGAAAUUAUGGCGGUUGGGGAUGGACUCGCGGCCUAUCAGCUUGUUGGUGGGGUAGUGGCUUACCAAGGCGUCGACGGGUAGCCGGCCUGAGGGGGUGACCGGCCACAUUGGGACUGAGAUACGGCCCAGACUCCUACGGGAGGCAGCAGUGGGGAAUAUUGCACAAUGGGCGGAAGCCUGAUGCAGCAACGCCGCGUGAGGGAUGACGGCCUUCGGGUUGUAAACCGCUUUCGCCAGUGAAGAAGCGUGAGUGACGGUAAUGGGUAAAAAAGCACCGGCUAACUACGUG
rnacentral:rRNA from 1 species